CGAAAACUUAUAGUAGUACAUCGGCUUCAAAUGGUACAUUGGCUAAUAGAGAUUAAGGAACACUGGAUUCUCUACCUGAUGACAGACUGAACCAAUGUAAUGUACCUUUUAUUUCCAUAUUAUCCUUUAGAAUUUAUGUUCUGCGUCAAGGGCACGUGCAAAAAGUAAUGUAAGUAAUGUAGUGUGCACCGAGAACUUCAAAGGGUACAUCGGCUAAUAGAGCUUAUGACCCACUGAAGUCACUAUACAGUAUCACAGCCCCUGCCAGCAGGGGUGCUGCAUAUCACAGCCUCAUAUCACAGCUGGGUACAGUGGCACGGCCCCUGUCAGCAGGGGUGGUGCAUAUCACAGCUGGGUACAGUGGCACGGCCCCUGUCAGCAGGGAUGGUGCAUAUCACAGCCUCAUAUUACAGCUGGGUACAGUGGCACGGCCCCUGUCAGCAGAGAUGGUGCAUAUCACAGCCUCAUAUCACAGCUGGGUACAGUGGCACGGCCCCUGUCAGCAGAGAUGGUGCAUAUCACAGCCUCAUAUCACAGCUGGGUACAGUGGCACGGCCCCUGUCAGCAGAGAUGGUGCAUAUCACAGCCUCAUAUUACAGCUGGGUACAGUGGCACGGCCCCUGUCAGCAGGGGUGGUGCAUAUCACAGCCUCAUAUCACAGCUGGGUACAGUGGCACGGCCCCUGCCAGCAGGGGUGGUGCAUAUCACAGCCUCAUAUCACAGCUGGGUACAGUGGCACGGCCCCUGCCAGCAGGGGUGGUGCAUAUCACAGCCUCAUAUCACAGCUGGGUACAGUGCACGGCCCCUGCUGUUCGCCUCGCCUGGUGCGGACGGCCGCGGUGUGUUGGGGGCCGCAGUGGUCGUGCUGGCGGCGGCCCCCUCGGCCGAGGAGGAGCGCAGCCUCGCAGCUCUCAUGUCCCCGUCCCUGCGUUGCUGCUGGGUCCAGCACGGGGCUGCCACUCCCGGACCAGACGGCCUCGGCGACGCCAACGGCUGUGUCCACCCAAACAUUGUGAAGCGAAGUAAAAGAUAAUUCAUCUGAUGAUGCCUCGAGCCACGGAUAUCGUCCUCAGGCCACUGUGGGAAGGUGAAGGGGUGCGAAGGCUGCGUUGAGGGGAGGCGGCUGCGCUGAUGGCGGGCGAUUGCAAAGGCGGGAAACUUCUUUUUUACUCCCUCCCUCCUUUUUUCCAUUUCUUUCUUUUUUCCUCAAUCCCUCCCUCUCUCCCUUCUUGUUCUUCUCUUCCUCCUUCCCGCUCUUUCCUGUUUUCCACUCACUUCACCCUUCUUCCCAACCGCUCCCAUCUCGCUCCUUCCUUCAUCCUUCCUCACUCUUCACCUUCCUGCCUCCUUAUUUGUGCUAUCAUCAUUCUAUCCCUUCCCUACCAACCUUUUUCUUCCCUUCUCUCUUCCUUCUCUUCUUCUCUCCGUCCUACCUCUAUCUUCCUUCCAUACACUUUAUCUUC